UACAGAGGUCUCAAGCGUUGUUCGGAUUCAUUGGGCGUAAAGGGUGCGUAGGUGGCGCCAUAAGUCAGGUGUGAAAUCUCGGGGCUCAACCCCGAAACUGCACUUGAUACUGUGGUGCUGGAGUACUGGAGAGGAGAUUGGAAUUUACGGUGUAGCAGUGAAAUGCGUAGAUAUCGAUAAGGAAGACCAGUGGCGAAGGCGAAUCUCGUGGACAAGUUACUGACACUGAGGCACGAAGGCCAGGGAGCAAACGGG
rnacentral:rRNA from 1 species